UUAAUACGUAAUUUUGAAAAUUGCCACCUAGAUGGCUAGAUCGCCGUUUUGAGAAAAAGCAUCCCGUUAUGAAAAGUAAAUUUGUCUCAUAUGUUUUUGCUCUAUUUCUCUCUCUUGGACUGUUUCAUUUUUCUCUUUCUCCGAUGAAAUUCUUUGAAAUUGCUGAAGAAUUGUUGAAAGGAAAAGGCGGGGCGGGCAAAUCUGUUAACCCGUUGUAUACAUACUUCCUCCAUUGUUGAAAUAGAAAGAGGUACGGGGCAUCGAACUACACUGAAGUCAUGAAGAAGAAGUCAAUUGUACGGUACGAAUAAGACAAGUAUAUUGAACAUUCCCUAUCUAAGUUGAAGUUAUUUGUUUGAUAAUUUCAAGGUCAAAUAAAAAGGGAGGUACCAUGGAAGUCAUAACAUGUGGCUUCCUCAUCCAAGGCAAAAUCUAUGGCUUUCAAUGGUAAACGUAAGGCAAAAUGUAAUGUUGACAAAGACUGUGAAGAAGAUGUGGAACGAGGACUUAAGUUAUCCUACUAGUAAGACCACUAUUGUAGUUGGCUAUUGUUCUACAUAGUUGUUGACUUGUUGCUCAAGUCCUAGUGUUGUAGAGAGGGAAUGGUGUUGUUUUUUUGGGUUUAGCUUUAUAAACAUGAUAUUGUUUUUGUAAUAUUUGCUUAUGUACUUAUGUGUUGGCUUUUGUCUUGCGGACUUGCUUGUUUUUUUAUAGUUAGGAUAUGGUGUAUUUUAUCCUAA